AUUGGCUGCGAUUGAGAUCGCGCGCGCGCGACAGCCGACAGCUCGCGUUUUGACGAGCGGUGAACGGUGAGGUUAAGUGCGUGGUGGCCGUUGGUGAGGUUGUGUGUGUAGUGUGUUCAACCGCUCGAGGCAAAGAGCCUGGUUGUUCCACCUUUUGGUGGAACAACCGGGCCAAAGUCAAACCUGCAAAACGUAGAACAACUGCGGGCCAAGGUCUGCAAAAGGUGGCAAAAGGUUCGAUCACAAACAAAUGCCUCUGCCAAUCAGUGAGAAAUAUUAUCAAAUUAUGCAAAGUAAUGCAGAUAAGUUGAAUUCUGCAAUAAUAUAUGAUAGAGAUUUUAAUUAUAGUUAUGUUAAUCUUUAAAAUGAUGGAAAGAAUGAUCACUUAUUAAAAGUGAAUGGAAAAAUUGUUGAGAGAGCACAUGUUAAUGCAAGUUGCUGUAGAUAUUCACAGCAAAGAUUAAGAUUAUUGAAACAUAUAUUUUAUGUCGAUGCAAUAUUUCGUAAAUUUUCGUACAAUAUGCUAUACAGACAAUAAAUACUGCAUAUGCCGUUACACAUCAAAUAGCUAGUUUAUUUUUAUUGACAAAAAAUGUUCGGUGACAGCAUUGAUGCAAUAUUGAAUACAUAGGAAUGAUUUGCUAUUCUCUAUCAUCAUGAUGGCGAAGUAGGUUUCGUGCAUUGAAUUCGGGCAAAGAUAUGCCUAUAAGAGGCACAGAGAGUGUGUCGGAUGGAUUGGUACCUAUGUUAAAAGUGUAUAAUACAGCUAUUGAGACUGUCUCCAAAAUGGGUAAAAAUGAAGGACCGAUUACUGUAUAUUUAUGCUGAUAUCUUUGAAUUCUUGGAUCUCAAAAGAAGUGCGAGGAGCAGUUUUGAGAACAUAUGUUAUAGGUUGUGGACUCCACAUUUCAAUGAAGUUUUCAUCAUGAAACGCGUUUGUGAUAAUGUAUCUAACCUAAUUUGUCCGCAUGAGUGCCCUGUAUUAAUUGAAACUUGGGGUGAUGAAUUUGAAGCUUUGUGUAUCAGAUAUAAAAAAAGGGAUAGGUUCUCGAAGACAAGUUAAAGCCAAGGAAUUGAUGAGGUUUCUCAUCAUUCAAAUACAAUUUGAAACAGGAGUACCAUAUAUGCAGUUUUUAAAAUUGUAAUCGCAAAUUAAAUCGUCAGAAUCUGGGUACAAUUGAAUACAACAGUUUCUCUACUGAAGAACUUCCAAUGAAGUUGUCAUGUGUAACAUAUGGCUUCAAUCGCUGUCAACAUGUUUAUGAAUUCUACUUUCUAAAGUUCUCAUAGAGAACUUUGAUUUUUAUAAACUUAACAAAGUAGCAAAAAUCGUCACCUACAAUUGGGAUAAAAUGAUUGGUAUUAAUUUUUAUUCUCUGCCAGAGGUGAAAUUGUUAUGUGAUACACACAGGUCUAUCGGUAUUAUUGUACAAGGAUUAGCAGAUGCAUUGAUUUCAAUGAGAUACUCAUUUGAAAGUAACAAAGCUAAGGAACUCAACGUCCACAUUUUUGAGACUUUAUUAUGGCGCUCUAGAAACAAGUUGCGAAAUGGUUACUGAAAAGGUCCUGAUGAGUCAUAUGAAGGCAAUCCAGUAAAUGUGUAUGUAUUUAAAAAGCACUCUCCGAGAAUAAACAUUUUCAGAUACAAAGUGGUACGGAGUUCCGUCACGAUAUGAUUGAAGCCAUUUGUAACGCUAAACAACGUAAAAGAAAUACAAUCAAUAAAAAGGAAAAUAGAGGGAAACGUUAUAUCAGAGAAGAAGAAAUGCAAAGAAUUUUUAUGCAGCGUCAACAAAAGCAUUUGCGAAAAGAGUAAUAAUAUAGAAAAGUCAAGAGAAAUGAUAUAGAAAAAAGGA